rnacentral:rRNA from 1 species
GAUGAACGCUGGCGGCGUGCCUAAUACAUGCAAGUCGAGCGAACGGACGAGAAGCUUGCUUCUUUGAUGUUAGCGGCGGACGGGUGAGUAACACGUGGAUAACCUACCUAUAUGACUGGGAUCACUUCGGGACACCGGAGCUUAUACCGGAUAAUAUUUUGAACCGCAUGGUUCAAAAGUGAAAGACGGUCUUGCUGUCACUUAUAGCUGGAUACGCGCUGCAUUAGCUAGUUGGUAAGGUAACGGCUUACCAAGGCAACGAUGCAUAGCCGACCUGAGAGGGUGAUCGGCCACACUGGAACUGAGACACGGUCCAGACUCCUACGGGAGGCAGCAGUAGGGAAUCUUCCGCAAUGGGCGAAAGCCUGACGGAGCAACGCCGCGUGAGUGAUGAAGGUCUUCGGAGCGUAAAACUCUGUUAUUAGGGAAGAACAGAUGUGUAAGUAACUGUGCACAGCGUGACGGUACCUAAUCAGAAAGCCACGGCUAACUACGUG